GGAAUAUUCGAACAGUUCAACGAAUAUUAAAAAAUUAAGUAUUUGUACUCCGUACCUCACAUCAAAGACUGGUUAUUAAAGAUGUAGGUAAGUAUGUAGGUGUAUAGGUACGUUUGUUUUAAAACACGAUUCGAAAAAAUAUCCUCGAAAAAAAAAUAUUGAAAGAUAUUCCUAUGCUUAAGGUAGAUUUAUAAUAAUAAGAAAUGCCACACUUACCAUUUUAGCAGCAAAAGCCAUUUUUGUUUGAUUUAGUUUGUGAAUAGUGGACGAGCAAAAAUUUGCAACACGUUUAACCGACUGGUAAUUGCAGAUUGUAUCGAAGUGCUGUUUACAAUGGAACUUUAAAUAGUAAUUCGGCUACUUUUUAAUUAUUUAUUCUUGGCACAGGUUCAUUGCAUCAAAGCGACUCGGACACCGUGCCACCGAUUUUGAAUUAACUUAUUCAAUUGCGUAAUAAGAUCCUUAUCGAAAUUAGAAAACUUUUCGAUUC